UCGUUUGAAAGGGUGUCAACUCUGUAUUUGAAUUAGUAUAUUCUGAAAAUACGACAUGUCGACAGAACUUGGAUUACACAAUAUACGGGUUUUAGACCAAUUAGAAGAAGGGGAUAUUGUGAAAUUCGAGAGAGGGUUGUUUUCACAUUAUGGUGUUUAUGUUGGUAAAACAGAUAUAGUUCAUCUAACGGGGGAGUCGCAAAAUGAACUAUUCGGUACUGCACAGGGCAUGACUUCUGUUAAAAUAGAGAAUUUCUGGAACGUAGCAAAUAAAUCAAAGGCUUCUAAACACAACAAAGAUGGUGGGAACUUCAGACCAUUGGAUAGAAAGACAAUUGUGAACAGGGCGAUGUCAAGGCUUGGUUAUAAUACUGAUUACCACGUCAUCUUUAAAAACUGUGAACAUUUUGCAAAUUGGUGUCGUUAUGACAUCGAGGACAGUUUCCAGGCCAAUAUGGUAUUGGGUACUCUAGCAGCAGUUGGAUUUUACAUUGGUGCCAAAUUUCUUGGUCUUCGAUAAUUGUAUCGGAGGAAGUAUUAAUAUGUAACGGUAAAAAAAACAAUGAAUAAAUAAAUAGCCGGAAUUUACUUGCCUUGAUAACAUCCAAACUUAUAAUACUGCGUAAGAUGUAAAAUCUGUGUGUCUAUGAAAUAUUAAUAAUUUAGCUUAUUAAAAAUGUGUAUUUGUAUAACGUCAUAUGGCAUAAAUAAGAAAUUCAUUCUAAUCAUAUUAAUUUUUGUCAAGAAUUCAAAGGGACAUUCUGUUCUGGGUAUGUGAUUGGGUGAAUCGAGGGUCACGUGGGUAAAUGUAAGCGCGGAGUCAAUAAAUUUAAUUGCAUAUUAAACGUUCUAAGAUGUUUAGCUUUCAUUUAUGUAUGCUUAACAAUUCCUUGAUUUGAUUUUAUCUGAAUAAAUAA